rnacentral:lncRNA from 1 species
GAUCAUCUAGUUAUUGGCGGAGGUCGCAGAGUGAUGCUCCCAUCAUGCUUCGAACGGAGAGGGCAAAGAGUCAUUGUUCGGAAGACGUUAAUAGGUUGGCUUAUAAAUAUCUCAGAUCUCCAUGCCAAUGGGGCAUCCGUGGUUGAAUUGAAUUUGUUCAGGAAAGUGUUCCAAGAGUUUUAGGACUCCCAUCAAUGGCCACGAAGCCAUUUUUUCUUUUUUAUACGCUUUUAUUUGUAUCCUGUCUGAUAUGUUGUCAUUGCCACGAGGAAAGAAAGGUAUUCUUUUUUUGUUUUUCUUUUUUUCUUUUUCCUUCUGUGUGUGUGUGUGCGCGCGCGUGUUUAUCUUUCCCUAUUAAUUUUGAGUGUGUGCUCACGAGG